ensembl:snRNA U6 U6 spliceosomal RNA
GUGCUUGCUUCAGCAGCACAUGUAUACUAAAAUUGGAAUGAUACAAAGAAGAUUAGUAUGGUCUUUGUGCAUGGAUGACACACAAAGUUGUGAAGCCUUCCAUAUUUAA